GAAAUAGUAUGCUAACGAGUAUAAAAUCAGUUGAGGCAUUUAAUUAAUAAAAUCUUGGUUCUUUUAUAAAAACUAUAUAUCAUUAUCCUCAUUCUAUAAAGCCACUAUUACCACUACUCUCAAAUUGCACUUUCUGGUAAAAAGUUAACAUUUUUAAGGAAAAAAAAGAAUACAGAUUUCAGUGGUUAAAGUGUUUUUGUUAUUGUGAUCAUACACCAAUUUUUUCCAAUGUAUCUUGCAGGAAAAGCUUUGAAAAAGACUUUAACCACAACCAUAAGGAAUAACCUUCUUCUCCCUCCCCUCACUACAAAAAUGUUUGGCAACAUUUGUGUUUACAUUUAAAGAUCAUUUGCACCUUUAUAAGGAAAAAAAAUAAGUAUUUGGUAAACAAUUGUUUACAUGCAUCAUUUAUGCUUUUUUCUAGCAUGUAUAACUUUUUAAAAUAAAGGUAGUACUUACCAUAAAAAAAUUUUGGUUAAUGCUUGUAUCUCUGCUACUUAAUUUAGAUUUUCUGUUUCUGUAUCAUUUACACUUCCUAUUAUAAAGUUAAAAGUACUUACAACCUGAAGGAAUAAAGGGAUUACCAGCUAGAAUUAUGAAUUUUUAUUAUAUAUUUUAUAUAAUAGUAGUAUAUUACCUAACCUCCAAACUUAUUUUCUGGUGUGGAACUUGGAAUCAAACGAUUUUGAGCUAGAAGGACUUUUAACAAUCAUCUGGUCCAGGGACUUCCCUGGUGGCACAGUGGUUAAGAAUCCACCUGCCAACACAAGGGACACGGGUUCGAGCCCUGGUCUGGGAAGAUCCCGCAUGCCGCGGAGCAACUAAGCCUGUGCGCCACAACUAUUGAGCCUGCGCUCCAGAGCCUGUGAGCCAGAACUACUGAGCCCAUGUGCCUCAACUACUGAAGCCUGCACGCCUAGAGCCCGUGCUCCACAACAAGAGAAGCCACUGCAAUGAGAAGCCUGCACGCCGCAACUAGAGAAAGCCCACAUGCAGCAACGAAGACCCAACACAGACAAAAAUAAAUUAAUUAAAAAAUCAUCGGGCUUCCCUGGUGGCGCAGUGGUUGGGAGUCCGCCUGCCGAUGCAGAGGACGUGGGUUCGUGCCCCGGUCUGGGAAGAUCCCACAUGCCACGGAGCGGCUGGGCCCGUGAGCCAUGGCCGCUGGGCCUGCGCGUCGGGAGCCUGUGCUCCGCAACGGGAGAGGCCACGGCAGUGAGAGGCCCGCGUAACAC
rnacentral:lncRNA from 1 species